GCUGGGUGCAGUGGUGCACGCCUGUAAUCCCAGAAGCUCAGGAGGCUGAGGCAGGAGAAUUGCAAGUUCAAAGCCAGCCUCAGCAACUUAGCAAGACCCUGUCUUAA
rnacentral:sRNA from 1 species